rnacentral:antisense_RNA from 1 species
UGUGGGAGCGAGCUUGCUCGCGAUAGCGGUGGCCUAUUCAACAUCUUUGCAAACUGACACUCCGUUAUCGCGAGCAAGCUCGCUCCCACA